rnacentral:rRNA from 1 species
GAGAGUCCCCCUACUCCUACGGGAGGCAGCAGUAGGGAAUCUUCCGCAAUGGACGAAAGUCUGACGGAGCAACGCCGCGUGAGUGAUGAAGGUCUUCGGAUCGUAAAACUCUGUUGUCAGGGAAGAACAAGUACCUGAGUAACUGUGGGUACCUUGACGGUACCUGAUCAGAAAGCCACGGCUAACUACGUGCCAGCAGCCGCGGUAAUACGUAGGUGGCAAGCGUUGUCCGGAAUUAUUGGGCGUAAAGCGCGCGCAGGCGGUUCUUUAAGUCUGAUGUGAAAGCCCCCGGCUCAACCGGGGAGGGUCAUUGGAAACUGGGGAACUUGAGUGCAGAAGAGAAGAGUGGAAUUCCAUGUGUAGCGGUGAAAUGCGCAGAGAUGUGGAGGAACCACCAGUGGCGAAGGCGACUUUUUGGUCUGUAACUGACGCUGAGGCGCGAAAGCGUGGGGAUCAAACAGGAUUAGAUACCCUGGUAGUCCACGCCGUAAACGAUGAGUGCUAAGUGUUAGGGGGUUUCCGCCCUUUAGUGCUGCAGCAAACGCAUUAAGCACUCCGCCUGGGGAGUACGGCCGCAAGGUUGAAACUCAAAGGAAUUGACGGGGGCCCGCACAAGCGGUGGAGCAUGUGGUUUAAUUUGAAGCAACGCGAAGAACCUUACCAAGUCUUGACAUCCUCUGACCACCCUAGAGAUAGAGCGUCCCCCCU